rnacentral:rRNA from 1 species
CAGUCGAGCGGUAACAGAUCCAGCUUGCUGGAUGCUGACGAGCGGCGGACGGGUGAGUAAUGCAUAGGAAACUGCCCAGUAGUGGGGGAUAGCCCGGGGAAACCCGGGUUAAUACCGCGUACGCCCUUCGGGAGAAACGGGGCUAUCUUCCGACCUUGCGCUAUUGCCUGUGCCUAAUUCGGAUUAUGUAGUUGGUGGGGGAAAGGCUUACCACGGCGACUAUCUGUACCUGGUCUGAGAGGAUGAUCAUCCGGAUUGAGACUGAGCCCCGGCCCCAACUCCUACGGGAGGUGGCGAUGAUUGGACUUGGACGGUGGGGGCAACCCUGAUCGCCCCUGCCGCGUGUGUGACCAUGGCUUUCGGGUUGCUUUCACUUUCAGUGAGGAGGAAAACUCUAAUACCCGCACUCAUAGGGCUUGUCGUUACUCAAGAACAAGCACCGGCUAACUCCGUGCCAGCAGCCGCGGUAAUACGGAAGGUGCAAUCGUUAAUCCGGAUUACUGGGCGCACAGCGCGCGUUUGUAGUUUGAUAUGUGAGAUGUGAAGGCUCCAGCUGUAAACUGGGUACGGAACUGUCAACUGUCAGUGUAGAAUAUGGUAGAGGAAAUUGCAGUUUCCCGUGUAAC